UACGGAGGGAGCUAGCGUUGUUCGGAAUUACUGGGCGUAAAGCGCACGUAGGCGGCUUUGUAAGUUAGAGGUGAAAGCCCGGGGCUCAACUCCGGAACUGCCUUUAAGACUGCAUCGCUUGAAUCCGGGAGAGGUGAGUGGAAUUCCGAGUGUAGAGGUGAAAUUCGUAGAUAUUGGGAAGAACACCGGUGGCGAAGGCGGCUCUCUGGACCGAUACUGGCGCUGAGGCGCGAAAGCGUGGGGAGCAAACAGG
rnacentral:rRNA from 1 species